rnacentral:sRNA from 1 species
AUGGCUGUCGUCAGCUCGUGCCGUGAGGUGUUGGGUUAAGUCCCGCAACGAGCGCAACCCUUAUCAUUAGUUGCCAACGCGAAAGGCGGGGACUCUAGUGAGACUGCCUGGGUUAACCAGGAGGAAGGUGAGGAUGACGUCAAGUCCGCAUGGCCUUUAUAUCCAGGGCUACACACGUGCUACAAUGGUCGGAACAGAAGGCAGCGAAACCGCGAGGUGGAGCAAAUCCCUAAAUCCGAUCUCAGUUCAGAUUGUAGUCUGCAACUCGGCUACAUGAAGUUGGAAUUGCUAGUAAUGGCGUGUCAGCAACAACGCCGUGAAUACGUUCCCGGGCCUUGUACACACCGCCCGUCACAUCAUGGGAGUUGGUUUUACCCGAAGUCGCUGACUUAACCGCAAGGGGAGAGGCGCCUAAGGUAAGGCCGAUGACUAGGAUGAAGUCGUAACAAGGUAGCCCUACCGGAAGGUGGGGCUGGAUCACCUCCUUUUAAGGACGAUAGAAUGUUUUAGGACAUUCUUAGGUUGAGAUGAGCUUCUGCAUCACGUCACUUCCCUCACGCUGUUCAAAACAGCGCUUGCUAUCUUGAAAAUUAGACAGAAGACAAUAUCCUCAAACGCAUGUGAGUAAGAAAAGAAAAAAAUGCUUCGAGAAGGCUCGAAGCAAUUUCACUGAAUGAAAAUGGCGCUUGAGAGAAUAUUCAUAAACACAUUGUGAAUUAGGUGUAAGAAGCGAAAAAGUACGUUGAAUUAGCAGUAGUAAAGAUUGUCGUGAUCAAGCUGCUAAGGGCUGUUGACGGAUGCCUUGGUAUUGUAAGGCGAAGAAGGACGCGCAAACCUGCGAUAAGCUCCGGCGAGCUGGAAAAAAGCAGAGACCCGGAGGAUUCCGAAUGGGGAAACCCGG